CCCUUAGAUGUUCUGGGCCGCACGCGUGCUACACUGAGUGGAUCAGCGGGUCAGGUUGCGCGAAAGUGUUUCCUAAUCUUUAAAUCCGCUCGUGAUGGGGAUUGACGGUUGCAAUUUUCCGUCAUGAACGAGGAAUACCUUGUAAGCGCGGGUCAUCAUCCCGCGCUGAAUACGUCCCUGCCCUUUGUACACACCGCCCGUCGCCCCUACCGAUUGAGUGGUCCGGUGAGGCUUUGGGAUCUGAGCGGAAAGAGCGUUUCGCUGUUUCUGCCCGGAAAACUCAGUCGAACCUUAUCAUUUAGAGGAAGGAGAAGUCGUAACA
rnacentral:rRNA from 1 species